AUAUUAGCCCUCGCUUUUCUCGACUCUAAGGUGGUCGAGGAAUAAGAGCUGGGCAAGACCGGUGCCAGCCGCCGCGGUAAUACCGGCAGCUCGAGUGAUGUCCAAUAUUAUUGGGCCUAAAGCGUCCGUAGCCGGCCACACAAGUCCAUCGGGAAAUCCGCCAGCUCAACUGGCGGGCGUCCGGUGGAAACUGCGUGGCUCGGGAUCGGAAGACCCAACGGGUACGUCUUGGGUAGGAGUGAAAUCCCGUAAUCCCGAACGGACCACCGAUAGCGAAAGCACGUUGGGAAGACGAAUCCGACGGUGAGGGACGAAAGCCAGGGUCUCGAACCGGAUUAGAUACCCGGGUAGUCCUGGCCGUAAACGAUGUCUGCUAGGUGUGGCUCCCACUACGAGUGGGUGCUGUGCCGUAGGGAAGCCGCUAAGCAG
rnacentral:rRNA from 1 species